rnacentral:rRNA from 1 species
UUCCUACGGGGGGCAGCAGUCGAGAAUCUUCGGCAAUGGGCGCAAGCCUGACCGAGCGACGCCGCGUGCGGGAUGAAGGCCCUUGGGUUGUAAACCGCUGUCAGGGGGGAGCAAGGCGUAAGCUUGAGCGAGCCCCAGAGGAAGCACGGGCUAAGUUCGUGCCAGCAGCCGCGGUAAUACGAACUGUGCGAACGUUAUUCGGAAUCACUGGGCUUACAGGGUGCGUAGGCGGCCUUUCAAGUCAGGUGUGAAAUCCCCCAGCUCAACUGGGGAACUGCGCUUGAAACUGGAGGGCUGGAGGAAACUAGAGGUGCAUGGAACUUCCGGUGGAGCGGUGAAAUGUGUUGAUAUCGGAAGGAACACCAGAGGCGAAAGCGAUGCACUGGGGUUGUUCUGACGCUGAGGCACGAAAGCCAGGGAAGCGAACGGGAUUAGAUACCCCAGUAGUCCUC